GGUUGUGGCUCAGUUGUAGAGUGCUUGCCUAGCAUGCAUGAGGUACUGGGUUCGAUUCUCAGCACCA
rnacentral:tRNA from 1 species